CGUCACGUGACGUGCGUGGCGACGUGUCGGCCAUCUUGUGUUGUUGAGGCUGAGGACUGACUUGGGUUCUGAGACUCCCUGUCCCGGACCGCAGUGUUAAAAGGAUCUGAACAAAGUCUGCUCAAAUCUCCUGCUGUGAACCAGCAGAAUUUUUGAACAGAGACCACGUCUCCAACUCCUGGGCUCCAACGAUUCUCCCAUCUCGGCCUCCCAAAGCGCUGGAGUUACAGGUUUCUUCACAUAUAAAAAUCUAUUGUAAAAAUACGGAAAAGAAUGGCAGCGGAAACGCAGACACUGAACUUUGGGCCUGAAUGAUAUGUUUGGACCCCGAAUAUGGAAUUCUCAUGGAAUUUUGAGAUCCAUCACAUUGUAGUGUGGCUUCCCCCCCCCCCUUCCUUUUUCCCCAAAGUUGGUGAUUGAAGAACCUCUCUUCAGUGGCAUCAAUAAUAAUAAUUACUUUUUCUAUUCAAACCUCGGGCAACCCCUUUGGUAAUAUCAGAAGCAGUAUCUAAAAUAGAUAAAUUGGAUUUGUGUCUUAAACUCUUGGUUGUUCAGGUGGGAGUGGUUCAAUAAAUGAUGCAGACUUCCCGUAGUAACUCUAUUUGAGGAGUCUUAUUAACUUACCCUAUUAGAAAUAUUUCUUUUUAUUAAUAUAUGUAAUCUGGAAGUUUUCUUAACCUUUAUAGCCAGCAUUUGGAGACUGAGGAGAAAUCACUAUUUGAAGUUCUAAGAACUGAUGGAACUCCUGUAUUUUGAGAGUUU
rnacentral:sRNA from 1 species